CGUUAUCNGGAAUUACUNGGGCGUAAAGCGCGCGUAGGCGGCUAUAUAAGUCGGAUGUGAAAGCCCUGGGCUCAACCUGGGAACUGCAUUCGAUACUGUAUAGCUAGAGUUUGGUAGAGGGAAGUGGAAUUCCACAUGUAGCGGGGAAAUGCGUAGAGAUCUGAAGGAACACCAGUGGCGAAGGCGACUUCCUGGACUAAAACUGACGCUGAGGAACGAAAGCGUGGGUAGCAAACGGGAUUAGAUACCCCGGUAGUCCACGCCGUAAACGAUGUCAACUAGCCGUUGGGCCUAUAUACAGGCUUAGUGGCGGAGCUAACGUAUUAAGUUGACCGCCUGGGGAGUACGGCCGCAAGGUUAAAACUCAAAUGAAUUGACGGGGGCCCGCACAAGCGGUGGAGCAUGUGGUUUAAUUCGAUGCAACGCGAAGAACCUUACCUACCCUUGAACAUCCAGAGAAUCUGUUAGAGAUAGUAGAGUGCCUUCGGGAACUCUGAGACAGGUGCUGCAUGGCUGUCGUCAGCUCGUGUCGUGAGAUGUUGGGUUAAGUCCCGUAACGAGCGCAACCCUUAUCCUUAGUUGCUAGCAGGUCAAGCUGAGAACUCUAAGGAGACUGCCGGUG
rnacentral:rRNA from 1 species